ACAUCAUUUGCAAUCGCAUGCUUAUACCGCAUAUUAUGUGAGUUUAGCAUGAAAUUCAUAUGAAAUCUAUAUGCGCUGCAGGAGAGCUGUGCGUCCUAUUACCUACUUGGUGAGGUAACGUCUCGCCAAGGCGAUGAUAGGUAGCCGUCCUGAGAGUGCGAACGACCACAAGCGGAUUGAUACUCGUCCCUUCCUCUUACGGCAGUCAGCAGUGCGGAAUACUGUCCAAUGGCCCAAAAGUCUGAUCCAUCAAUUCUGUGUGCAUCUGAUGCAGUAUUUUCUCGAAUGUUAACACGUCGCUUUACAGUUUGGGAGCGAAGUAAGUCACGGUCCCAACAGAAGAAGUGCCGUCUAAAUCCGUUCCACCAGCCUCGGUAAUACGUACGUCGCAACCCUUAUCCGGAUUUAUUGGGCGUAAAGCUCUUAUAGCCGGUUUGGUAAGUCUGAUGUGACAAUCCGGCGUUCAACUCCGUAUUGCGUUGGUAUCUCCCAAACUAGAGUAUCUGGAGAGGUGGAGCGCAACUACAAGUGUAGAGGUGAAAUUCGUAGAUAUUUGUAGUAAUACCGAUGGGGAAUCCAUCCCACUGGACAGAUACUGACGCUAAAGCGCAAAAGGGUGGGUACCAACCACGAUUACCUACCUCU
rnacentral:rRNA from 1 species